GAUAAACGCUGGCGGCGUGCAUAACACAUGCAAGUCGAACGAAGUGGCGAACGGGUGAGUAACACGUGAGUAACCUGCCUUACACAGGGGGAUAGCCUUUGGAAACGAAGAAUAAUACCCUAUAGUGUAAGAUGGACUUGCGUCUGAUUAGCUAGUUGGUGAGAUAAAAGCCCACCAAGGCGACGAUCAGUAGCCGGCUUGAGAGAGUGUACGGCCUCAUUGGGACUGAGACACGGACCAAACUCCUACGGGAGGCAGCAGUGGGGGAUAUUGCACAAUGGGCGAAAGCCUGAUGCAGCGACGCCGCGUGGGGGAUGAAGGCUUUCGGGUUGUAAACCUCUUUCGCUAUCGAACGGGUAGGUGGAGAAGAAGCGCCGGCUAACUACGUGCCAGCAGCCGCGGUAAUUC
rnacentral:rRNA from 1 species